rnacentral:rRNA from 1 species
AUUGAACGCUGGCGGCAGGCCUAACACAUGCAAGUCGAGCGGAGCGGCGGACGGGUGAAUAAUGCCUAGGAAUCUGCCUGGUAGUGGGGGAUAACGUCCGGAAACGGGCGCUAAUACCGCAUACUAUCAGAUGAGCCUAGGUCGGAUUAGCUAGUUGGUGGGGUAAAGGCCUACCAAGGCGACGAUCCGUAACUGGUCUGAGAGGAGGAUCAGUCACAUUGGAAAUGAGACACGGCCCAGACGCCGACGGGAGGCAGCAGUGGGGAAUAGGGCACAAUGGGAGAAUGUCGGAUCCAUCUAUGCUGCGUGUGUGAAGAAGGUCAUCGGAUGGUAAUGCACUUUAAGUGCGUAGGCGUUACUAACAGAAUAAUCACUGGCUAAAUUCGUGCCAGCAGCCGCGGUAAGUC